UAACACCUGGAAACAGAUGCUAAUACCGGAUAACAAUAGAUGAUGCCUAUCAACUGUUUAAAAGAUGGUUCUGCUAUCACUCUUGGAUGGACCUGCGGUGCAUUAGCUAGUUGGUAGGGUAACGGCCUACCAAGGCGAUGAUGCAUAGCCGAGUUGAGAGACUGAUCGGCCACAUUGGGACUGAGACACGGCCCAAACUCCUACGGGAGGCAGCAGNG
rnacentral:rRNA from 1 species